CCCUUUUCAGGGUCGCACCUGGAGAGUUUCCAGGACUCUACCAGUCACGACUAGAGGAGGGAGAGUCAAGCUGAGAUCUAUCCAUUCCAUUCCUAGCUUCGUCAGUGGCUAGGGAGAGGAAGGCAAUCUGCUACAAGU